UACGGAGGGUGCAAGCGUUGUCCGGAUUUAUUGGGUUUAAAGGGUGCGUAGGCGGCCUGGUAAGUCAGUGGUGAAAGCCCAUAGCUCAACUAUGGAACUGCCAUUGAUACUGCCAGGCUUGAGUACAGACGAGGUAGGCGGAAUUGAUAGUGUAGCGGUGAAAUGCAUAGAUACCAUCAAGAACACCGAUUGCGUAGGCAGCUUACUAGGCUGUAACUGACGCUGAGGCACGAAAGCGUGGGGAGCGAACAGG
rnacentral:rRNA from 1 species